GCCGCUUGAUCUGUCUGGUUAUUGUCCUA
rnacentral:piRNA from 1 species